GGGCCCGCACAAGCGGUGGAGCAUGUGGUUUAAUUCGAUGAUACGCGAGGAACCUUACCAGGGCUUAAAUGUAGGUUGCAUGAUCUAGAGAUAGAUCUUUCUUCGGACUACCUACAAGGUGCUGCAUGGUUGUCGUCAGCUCGUGCCGUGAGGUGUCAGGUUAAGUCCCAUAACGAGCGCAACCCCUAUCCUUAGUUGCCAGCGAGUAAUGUCGGGGACUCUAAGGAAACUGCCUGCGCAAGCAGUGAGGAAGGUGGGGAUGACGUCAAAUCAUCACGGCCCUUACGUCCUGGGCUACACACGUGCUACAAUGGCCGGUACAGAGAGCAGCCACUACGCGAGUAGGAGCGAA
rnacentral:rRNA from 1 species